CAAGUAUCAGGAGGCUCCUGUAAGGAGAUCAAGCCACUGACAGAGCAAGAAUUUGAGUUGUAAUGCUCAGAGGAGGGAUUCCUAACUCUAGAGCUAUGCGGCAGAAAACUGCCAGGGGACCCAGCGAAGGCUAACACCGUUUCCUUGAAAUGGUCUCUGUUAGAAGGGGUUACACGAGCUACUGCUUCAUAGCAGGGGAAAAGGCCAACAAGAUAUGAGAAAUAAUGGCUUUAUGUUACCAAGGGAAAAAAGCCCCAGGACCCUGCUCCUCAUGAGGCUGAAUGUUCUCCAGCUGUUUCUGCCCAGGGCAUAACUACCCAGAUGGAUGCUGCUUGGAUAGGUGCUUGAAGUUGCCUAAGUCAGUUGUCAACCUGAGCUUGUAAACCCUGCUGAGAGAUGGCCUUAUGAGAUGAUGCAUGUUUGAAGUGCUUUAAAUAGACUUGCAAACUAUACAGAGAAGGAGAAGGAAGGCUCCCUUGCUUGCAAAACUCCAUAUAUUACUGCUGAUCUUUCUUUUUGCUAGGGAGCAGCCUUGGACAAUUCAGCAUGACUUCUAUAGGAAGAGACCUCUGAAGGACAUGGGGUGCAAUCCCCUGCUCAAAGGAGAGUCAUGUAGCUGGUUUCACAAGGCCAUGUGCAGCUGGGUUUUAACUGUCUUCAAACAUGGAGAUUCCACAACCUUUUGGGACAACCUCUUCAAUAUUUGGUUAUGGUAAAAAUAUGUUCUUCACAUCAAGUUGGACUUUCUUUUGUUCCACAUUGAGUUUGUUGUCUUUUCUUCUAUCCAUG
ensembl:lncRNA